CCUACGGUGUGCAGCAGUGGGGACUAUUGCACAAUGGGGGAAACCCUGAUGCAGCGACGCCGCGUGAGUGAAGCAGUAUUUCGGUAUGUAACGCUCUAUCAGCAGGGAAGAAAAUGACGGUCCCUGAUUAAGAAGCCCCGGCUACCUACGUGCCCGCCGCCGCGGUAAUACGUAGGGGGCAAGCGUUAUCCGGCUUUACGGGGUGUAAAGGGAGCGUAGACGGCAGCUCAAGUCUGGAGUGAAAUGCCGGGGGUUAACCCCGGAAGUGCUUUGGAUACUGUGCAGCUAGAGGGCAGGAGAGGUAAGUGGAAGUCCUAGUGUAGCGGUGAAAUGCGUAGAUAUUAGGAGGAACACCAGUGGUGAAGGCGGCUUACUGGACUGUAACUGACGUUGAGGCUCGAAAGCGUGGGGAGCAAACAGGAUUAGAGACCCUUGUAGUC
rnacentral:rRNA from 1 species